AGAUUGAACGCUGACGGCAGGCCUAACACAUGCAAGUCGAGCGGUAGAGAGGUGCUUGCACCUCUUGAGAGCGGCGGACGGGUGAGUAAUGCCUAGGAAUCUGCCUAGUGGUGGGGGAUAACGUUCGGAAACGGACGCUAAUACCGCAUACGUCCUACGGGAGAAAGCGGGGGACCUUCGGGCCUCGCGCCAUUAGAUGAGCCUAGGUCGGAUUAGCUAGUUGGUGAGGUAAUGGCUCACCAAGGCGACGAUCCGUAACUGGUCUGAGAGGGAUGAUCAGUCACACUGGAACUGAGACACGGUCCAGACUCCUACGGGAGGCAGCAGUAGGGGAAUA
rnacentral:rRNA from 1 species